AGUGGCGGACGGGUGAGUAACGCGUGAGAAUCUGCCUUGGGGUCGGGGACAACCACUGGAAACGGUGGCUAAUACCGGAUAAGCCGAUUGGUGAAAGAUUUAUUGCCCGAAGAGGAGCUCGCGUCUGAUUAGCUAGUUGGUGAGGUAAGAGCUCACCAAGGCAGCGAUCAGUAGCUGGUCUGAGAGGACGAUCAGCCACACUGGGACUGAGACACGGCCCAGACUCCUACGAGGCAGCAGUGGGGAAUUUUCCGCAAUGGGCGAAAGCCUGACGGAGCAAGACCGCGUGAGGGAGGAAGGCUCUUGGGUUGUAAACCUCUUUUCUCAGGGAAGAAGCUCUGACGGUACCUGAGGAAUCAGCCUCGGCUAACUCCGUGCCAGCAGCCGCGGUAAUACGGAGGAGGCAAGCGUUAUCCGGAAUUAUUGGGCGUAAAGCGUCCGCAGGUGGCGAUUCAAGUCUGCUGUCAAAGCACGGGGCUUAACUCCGUAAAGGCAGUGGAAACUGAAUAGCUAGAGUGCCGUAGGGGUAGAGGGAAUUCCCGGUGUAGCGGUGAAAUGCGUAGAGAUCGGGAAGAACAUCGGUGGCGAAAGCGCUCUACUGGACGGCAACUGACACUCAGGGACGAAAGCUAGGGGAGCGAAUGGGAUUAGAUACCCC
rnacentral:rRNA from 1 species